rnacentral:rRNA from 1 species
AUUGAACGCUGGCGGAAUGCUUUACACAUGCAAGUCGAACGGCAGCACGGACUUCGGUCUGGUGGCGAGUGGCGAACGGGUGAGUAAUACAUCGGAACGUGCCCAGUCGUGGGGGAUAACGUAGCGAAAGCUACGCUAAUACCGCAUACGAUCUACGGAUGAAAGCGGGGGAUCGCAAGACCUCGCGCGAUUGGAGCGGCCGAUGGCAGAUUAGGUAGUUGGUGGGGUAAAGGCUCACCAAGCCGACGAUCUGUAGCUGGUCUGAGAGGACGACCAGCCACACUGGGACUGAGACACGGCCCAGACUCCGACGGGAGGCAGCAGUGGGGAAUUUUGGACAAUGGGCGCAAGCCUGAUCCAGCCAUUCCGCGUGCAGGAUGAAGGCCCUCGGGUUGUAAACUGCUUUUGUACGGAACGAAAAGGCUCUGGUUAAUACCCGGGGCUCAUGACGGUACCGUAAGAAUAAGCACCGGCUAACUACGUGCCAGCCGCCGCGGUAAUAC